rnacentral:lncRNA from 1 species
CCACAUGUAUUAUAUACAUAAAAAUUUAGAUCUACCACAUGUAUCACAUACAUGAUCAUAAAUUUUACAUCUAAUGAUUUGAUUUCAUGCAAAAGAAAUCCGUGGCUCAGAUACCACUGUUAGAUUUGCUUAGGUGUUUUACAUGCUUGCAUGCAGAUUUUUCAAAAAAUCAAAAUUCAGCAGAAGUAUAGAUUAAACAAUUUAAUCUAAUGCAUCUUAAAUCUAAUCUAAAGCAUAAAACACC